UACGGAGGGGGCUAGCGUUGUUCGGAAUUACUGGGCGUAAAGCGCACGUAGGCGGCUUUGUAAGUUAGAGGUGAAAGCCCGGGGCCUCAACCCCGGAAUAGCCUUUAAGACUGCAUCGCUUGAACACGGGAGAGGUGAGUGGAAUUCCGAGUGUAGAGAUGAAAUUCGUAGAUAUUAGGAAGAACACCGGUGGCGAAGGCGGCCAUCUGGCUCGGUACUGACGCUCAGGCGCGAAAGCGUGGGGAGCGAACAGG
rnacentral:rRNA from 1 species